AUAUAAGAAAAGGAAUCUCUUGAGGAAGGAGAGGCUUGGAGAUCCUUAGAUCCUUGGAGAUAGAUCCUUUUGGAGGAGGCCUUUUGAAGAUCUCUUGAGAAGAAGUCCCUUGGGAGGCUGACUCUGGCUGGAACUCCCUCUGGGGAGACUCUGUUCCCCAGACACCCUUGCUUAAGACAAAUCUUGUGUCCAAGAGUCUCCAAAGUGGAAGCCAUGUCUUGACCUCAAGAAGUGUUUAAUUAUCCAACCAAAAAAAAAUAUUCCAAGAUGGAAGGCAUCUGCUUCUAUGUUGACACAAAGGAACUGGCCCAUGGUGGGAAUGUUCAAGAAUUUGGGACAUGCUUUGAGACUGCAAUGAGGCAGCACCAAGUGACUAUGGACUUUGUGCCAAGCAAGUAUUUCUGCUACUCUCACACUACAAGUCUAAUUGACUACUUGAUUUGAUGUACUGAAUUCUGAAUAAUUCUAAUAUCAAAGAAAAAUAGCAACAUUAUCCUCAUUGCCAUUUUAAAAUUUGUUUUCUUGGGUUUCAGGGAUGUUGGAACUUUCCAUAACAAAAUGAUGCUUUUUUCCCCCCUGGGUUGUUAAGGAAACAUUGAGUUUCUUCCCUGGUCCCUAUUUUCUUCAAAAACAUGGCAGAGUAAUGAGUUUUUGUUGAAAUAUCAGAUCAGCUAAAUGUCAGAUCUUUUCAGUUUUUGUUCAUCACUAAAAUGGCAAAAGGAGAGUUGUACAAUUUUCAAACAAAUUUCAUUCUUACUCAAAUUUCCUUUGAGAAUGAGUCUAUUCACUAAAUCUAUUUCUGGAAUGCUCUGUCUCCUCAUUUCCAUAUUUUAGCUUCCCUGGUUUCCUUCAAGUCCCAGAAAAAAAUCCCACCUUUCCCAACCCCUUCCCACCUUAAUUCUAGUUCCCUUUGUCUGUUGGUUAUUUUCAAUUUAUCCUGUGUCUAGUUUAUUUGGCAUACAUUUUUUUCUCAUAUUGCCUACUUCUUUUGACUAGGAGCUCCUUGACAGUAGGGCCUAUCUUUUCUUUCUGUAUAUCCCUAUAAUUUGGCACACUACCUGGUACAUUGUAAGACAUAAUAAAUGUUUAUGACCACUAACUGAAUACCUAUCC
rnacentral:lncRNA from 1 species